rnacentral:lncRNA from 1 species
AUGCACAAUGCCGUGAAUGUCCUAUGUGUCACUAAGGCUGAAGAAAAUCUAGGGUUCAUCCUAGAAAAGGAACCACUUCUGAACCAAGCCACCUUGGACAGGGAUACAUUCAAGGUCAGCAUGAUGAAUAGGCAGAGAAAGAGGUCAAACAGCCCUCUCAAGCCAGAAGAGUUGGUCAACGGCCUUGUUCAAAGAGAAUUUCUCCACUUUGGGGGUGCUGAAGGGAGGAGGGAAGAUUUGGAAUGCAACAGGUUAGUAGGAAUCUUAGUAGGAGCAAGAUGAGAUUUCAUAGUCAUUAGCACACACCAUUUAUAGCAUUUGUUAAAGUUUGCUGGAUCUUUGAAUCAGUAAUUAAAUCCUUUUAAAACUCAUGAUAAAU